UGGGGAAUAUUGCACAAUGGGCGAAAGCCUGAUGCAGCGACGCCGCGUGAGGGAUGACGGCCUUCGGGUUGUAAACCUCUUUCAGCAGGGAAGAAGCGAAAGUGACGGUACCUGCAGAAGAAGCGCCGGCUAACUACGUGCCAGCAGCCGCGGUAAUACGUAGGGCGCAAGCGUUGUCGGAUAUUGGGCGUAAGAGCUCGUAGGCGGUUAGUCGCGUCUGCUGUGAAAACUCGAGGCUCAACCUCGGGCUUGCAGUGGGUACGGGCUGACUAGAGUGCAGUAGGGGGUGACUGGAAUUCCUGGUGUAGCGGUGGAAUGCGCAGAUAUCAGGAGGAACACCGAUGGGCGAAGGCAGGUCACUGGGCCGCAACUGACGCUGAGGAGCGAAAGCAUGGGGAGCGAACAGGAUUAGAUACCCUGGUAGUCCAUGCCGUAAACGUUGGCACUAGGUGUGGGUCCAUUCCACGGAUUCCGUGCCGCA
rnacentral:rRNA from 1 species